rnacentral:rRNA from 1 species
UACAGAGGUCCCAAGCGUUGUUCGGAUUCAUUGGGCGUAAAGGGUGCGUAGGUGGCGUCGUAAGUCAGGUGUGAAAUUUCGGAGCUCAACUCCGAAACUGCAUUCGAUACUGCGGUGCUUGAGGACUGGAGAGGAGACUGGAAUUUACGGUGUAGCAGUGAAAUGCGUAGAGAUCGUAAGGAAGACCAGUGGCGAAGGCGGGUCUCCUGGACAGUUCCUGACACUGAGGCACGAAGGCCAGGGGAGCAAACGGG